UACGAAGGGUGCAAACGUUGCUCGGAAUCAUUGGGCGUAAAGCGCACGUAGGCGGCUUCGCAAGUCGGAUGUGAAAUCCCUCGGCUCAACCGAGGACGUGCAUACGAAACUGCGGAGCUUGAGUGCUGAAGAGGAUCGCGGAAUUCCCGGUGUAGAGGUGAAAUUCGUAGAUAUCGGGAGGAACACCAGUGGCGAAGGCGGCGAUCUGGGCAGACACUGACGCUGAGGUGCGAAAGCGUGGGGGGCAAACAGGG
rnacentral:rRNA from 1 species